rnacentral:piRNA from 1 species
UGCAAUUCAGGCAUGUCUUGUGACCUUUGC